rnacentral:rRNA from 1 species
AGGACGAACGCUGGCGGCGUGCUUAACACAUGCAAGUCGAGCGGUAAGGCCUUUCGGGGUACACGAGCGGCGAACGGGUGAGUAACACGUGGGUGAUCUGCCCUGCACUUCGGGAUAAGCCUGGGAAACUGGGUCUAAUACCGGAUAUGACCUCCUAUCGCAUGGUGGGUGGUGGAAAGAUUUAUCGGUGCAGGAUGGGCCCGCGGCCUAUCAGCUUGUUGGUGGGGUAAUGGCCUACCAAGGCGACGACGGGUAGCCGACCUGAGAGGGUGACCGGCCACACUGGGACUGAGACACGGCCCAGACCUCCCACGGGAGGCAGCAGUGGGG